AGUGCCAUUAAGGGGAAAUUGCAAGAAUUAGGAGCUUAUGUUGGCUUCAUGGUGUGUUAGAUAAACUUCGCUCAGUUACUACUGACCCCUCUAGCCUAAAGUCAUCCGAUAGCAACAUCUUUGAUAGUAAC